GACCUCUUGGCGCAGUGGUAGCGCGUGAGAUUCCAGUCGCUUCCGUUCCGAACGGAAGUCGCGGGACGUCCUCAAGGUCAUCCGUUCAAAUCGGGUAGGGGUCA